rnacentral:rRNA from 1 species
UAGUCAUAUGCUUGUCUCAAAGAUUAAGCCAUGCAGUCUAGUAUAGCAUCUAUACGGUGAAACUGCGAAUGGCUCAUUAAAUCAGUUAUCGUUUAUUUGAUAGUACCUUACUACUUGGAUAACCGUGGUAAUUCUAGAGCUAAUACAUGCUAAAAACCCCGACUUCGGAAGGGGUGUAUUUAUUAGAUAAAAAACCAAUGCCCUUCGGGGCUCCUUGGUGAUUCAUAAUAACUUAACGAAUCGCAUGGCCUUGUGCCGGCGAUGGUUCAUUCAAAUUUCUGCCCUAUCAACUUUCGAUGGUAUGGUCUUGGCUUACCAUGGUUUCAACGGGUAACGGGGAAUGGGGCGGGGGCGGCGGGCCGGGCGCGGGGCGCGGCGGGCG